AUUGAACGCUGGCGGCAUGCCUUACACAUGCAAGUCGAACGGUAGAGUAGCAAUACUCGAGAGUGGCGAACGGGUGAGUAACAUAUCGGAACGUGCCCAAUCGUGGGGGAUAACGUAGAGAAAUUUACGCUAAUACCGCAUACGAUCUAAGGAUGAAAGCGGGGGAUCGCAAGACCUCGCGCGAUUGGAGCGGCUGAUAUCAGAUUAGGUUGUUGGUGAGGUAAAAGCUCACCAAGCCGACGAUCUGUAGCUGGUUUGAGAGAACGACCAGCCACACUGGGACUGAGACACGGCCCAGACUCCUACGGGAGGCAGCAGUGGGGAAUUUUUGGGACAAUGGGCGAAAGCCUGAUCCAGCAAUGCCGCGUG
rnacentral:rRNA from 1 species